rnacentral:sRNA from 1 species
GCCAGGUGUGGUGGCGCAUUCUUGUAAUCCCAGCGGUUCGGGAGGCUGAGACAGGAGGCUCAUGAAUUCAAAGCCAGUCUCAGCAAGGACGAGGCAAUAAACAACUCAGUGAGACCCUGUCUCUA